UUUGCUGUCAUAUGAUGUAAACGCAGUUCUAUGAUUUAACACCGUCCGUUCGAUCAAAUAUUUAUUCCUGUUUACUGAUUUUCCUUCCAUAGUAUGCUAGAAAUCAUGAAUAACCAAGAAUGUAAUUUACUACGCUGGUACUAUAAAGCAAGAAUUCUUUAGCAGUAAGUUACCGCCCCUAAGCCGGGGCUAAGGCAGAACUACAUGCAAUAUACCAGACAGCUCGG